CCAGUAAAUACCAUCGAUCAUUUCUUAAACCAAACAAGGUCAAUGAUUUUUUCGCUACGACACUUGUUCCUCCAGUCGGUUGCGUUCUAUCCCUCUCUGGCUCCAAGCCUCCUCCUCUGUAGAAAUUAUAAACCAAAGAAAGAAAACAUACAUUCUUCAUCUAAUCCUCCUCCGAAAGAACCGGUCCGUCUGUCUGUAGCACCUUAACCUUCAAGCUCUUUAUCAACAGGUGUAACACCUGCUGAGAAACUUUUGGAGUUGUAUCAUGGGAAAUGGAGACAGACUGUAGAUCCUGUUUUUGAGGAGCUACUCUACUGAGGUGAAUCAGAUUCUUGUGGGACGAGUGGGUCCUUUUGUGUGUAAAACCUUUCUUGAAUUCUUGUGUGUAAUCCUGAUUUUUAUUUCAAGCUGGGUUUAGUUUGUGGUUUUAUACUUAACAUCUCAUGUAACUCUCAUAGAAUGAACCAGAUCAACACUGGUCAUCUUGUCUCACGAAUGCUUACAAGUUGUUGACACCUGUUAAUUGAGAGAGGUUAAUCCGAACAUC